rnacentral:rRNA from 1 species
GAUGAACGCUAGCGGCAGGCUUAAUACAUGCAAGUCGAGGGGCAGCGGGGUAGCAAUACCGCCGGCGACCGGCAAACGGGUGCGGAACACGUACAGAACCUCCCUCCAAGUGGUGAAUAGCCUUCCGAAAGGAAGAUUAAUACACCGUAAUAUUAAAGAGUGGCAUCACUUUCUAAUUAUAGAUUUAUCGCUUAGAGAUGGCUGUGCGGCUGAUUAGGUAGUUGGCGGGGUAANAGCCCACCAAGACCUGCGAUCAGUAACUGGUGUGAGAGCACGACCAGUCACACGGGC